rnacentral:rRNA from 1 species
UGAGUUUGAUCAUGGUUCAGGACGAACGCUGGCGGCGUGCCUAAUACAUGCAAGUCGAGCGAGCUUGCCUAGAUGAUUUUAGUGCUUGCACUAAAUGAAACUAGAUACAAGCGAGCGGCGGACGGGUGAGUAACACGUGGGUAACCUGCCCAAGAGACUGGGAUAACACCUGGAAACAGAUGCUAAUACCGGAUAACAACACUAGACGCAUGUCUAGAGUUUGAAAGAUGGUUCUGCUAUCACUCUUGGAUGGACCUGCGGUGCAUUAGCUAGUUGGUAAGGUAACGGCUUACCAAGGCAAUGAUGCAUAGCCGAGUUGAGAGACUGAUCGGCCACAUUGGGACUGAGACACGGCCCAAACUCCUACGGGAGGCAGCAGUAGGGAAUCUUCCACAAUGGACGAAAGUCUGAUGGAGCAACGCCGCGUGAGUGAAGAAGGGUUUCGGCUCGUAAAGCUCUGUUGGUAGUGAAGAAAGAUAGAGGUAGUAACUGGCCUUUAUUCGACGGUAAUUACUUAGAAAGUCACGGCUAACUACGUGCCAGCAGCCGCGGUAAUACGUAGGUGGCAAGCGUUGUCCGGAUUUAUUGGGCGUAAAGCGAGUGCAGGCGGUUCAAUAAGACUGAUGUGAAAGCCUUCGGCUCAACCGGAGAAUUGCAUCAGAAACUGUUGAACUUGAGUGCAGAAGAGGAGAGUGGAGCUCCAUGUGUAGCGGUGGAAUGCGUAGAUAUAUGGAAGAACACCAGUGGCGAAGGCGGCUCUCUGGUCUGCAACUGACGCUGAGGCUCGAAAGCAUAGGUAGCGAACAGGAUUAGAUACCCUGGUAGUCCAUGCCGUAAACGAUGAGUGCUAAGUGUUGGGAGGUUUCCGCCUCUCAGUGCUGCAGCUAACGCAUUAAGCACUCCGCCUGGGGAGUACGACCGCAAGGUUGAAACUCAAAGGAAUUGACGGGGGCCCGCACAAGCGGUGGAGCAUGUGGUUUAAUUCGAAGCAACGCGAAGAACCUUACCAGGUCUUGACAUCCAGUGCAAACCUAAGAGAUUAGGUGUUCCCUUCGGGGACGCUGAGACAGGUGGUGCAUGGCUGUCGUCAGCUCGUGUCGUGAGAUGUUGGGUUAAGUCCCGCAACGAGCGCAACCC